CCCCUCUCAGGGUCUCACCUGGGGAGUUUCCAGUACUCUACCAGUCUUGGCUAUGGGAGGUAGAGUCAAGCAGAGGCCAAUCCAUUCCAUUCCUAGCUUGGGUUCUGACUAGCGAGUGGAAGGCAAUCUGCUACAAGU
rnacentral:snoRNA from 2 species